CCUACGGGAGGCAGCAGUGAGGAAUAUUGGUCAAUGGACGCAAGUCUGAACCAGCCAUGCCGCGUGCAGGAAGACGGCUCUAUGAGUUGUAAACUGCUUUUGUACGAGGGUAAACGCAGAUACGCGUAUCUGUCUGAAAGUAUCGUACGAAUAAGGAUCGGCUAACUCCGUGCCAGCAGCCGCGGUAAUACGGAGGAUUCAAGCGUUAUCCGGAUUUAUUGGGUUUAAAGGGUGCGUAGGCGGUCGGAUAAGUUAGAGGUGAAAUCCCGAGGCUAAACUUCGGAAUUGCCUCUGAUACUGUUCGGCGAGAGAGUAGUUGAGGUAGGCGGAAUGUAUGGUGUAGCGGUGAAAUGCUUAGAGAUCAUACAGAACACCGAUUGCGAAGGCAGCUUACCAAGCUACUUCUGACGUUGAGGCACGAAAGCGUGGGGAGCAAACAGGAUUAGAUACCCUUGUAGUC
rnacentral:rRNA from 1 species